AACGAACGCUGGCGGCAGGCCUAACACAUGCAAGUCGAGCGAGGACUUCGGUCCUAGCGGCGGACGGGUGAGUAACGCGUGGGAACGUGCCCUUUGCUUCGGAAUAGCCCUGGGAAACUGGGAGUAAUACCGGAUGAGCCCUUUGGGGGAAAGAUUUAUCGGCGAAGGAUCGGCCCGCGUUGGAUUAGGUAGUUGGUGGGGUAAUGGCCUACCAAGCCGACGAUCCAUAGCUGGUUUGAGAGGAUGAUCAGCCACACUGGGACUGAGACACGGCCCAGACUCCUACGGGAGGCAGCAGUGGGGAAUCUUAGACUAUGGGGGAAACCCUGAUCUAGCCAUGCCGCGUGAGCGAUGAAGGCCUUAGGGUUGUAAAGCUCUUUCAGCUGGGAAGAUAAUGACGGUACCAGCAGAAGAAGCCCCGGCUAACUCCGUG
rnacentral:rRNA from 1 species